GAUGAACGCUGGCGGCGUGCCUAAUACAUGCAAGUCGAGCGAACAGACGAGGAGCUUGCUCCUCUGACGUUAGCGGCGGACGGGUGAGUAACACGUGGAUAACCUACCUAUAAGACUGGGAUAACUUCGGGAAACCGGAGCUAAUACCGGAUAAUAUAUUGAACCGCAUGGUUCAAUAGUGAAAGACGGUUUUGCUGUCACUUAUAGAUGGAUCCGCGCCGCAUUAGCUAGUUGGUAAGGUAACGGCUUACCAAGGCAACGAUGCGUAGCCGACCUGAGAGGGGGAUCGGCCAACCGGGAAUGGGAAAACGGUCCAGACCCCAACGGGAGGCAGCAGGAGGGAAUUUUCCGAAAGGGGCGAAAGCUUGACGGAGCAACGCCGGGGGGGUGAUGAAGGUCUUCGGAUCGUAAAACUUUGUUAUUAGGAAAAAAAAAAUGUGUAAGUAACUAUGCACGUCUUGACGGUACCUAAUAAAAAAGCCCGGGCUAACUACGU
rnacentral:rRNA from 1 species